rnacentral:rRNA from 1 species
UACGUAGGGUGCAAGCGUUAAUCGGAAUUACUGGGCGUAAAGCGUGCGCAGGCGGUGAUGUAAGACAGUUGUGAAAUCCCCGGGCUCAACCUGGGAACUGCAUCUGUGACUGCAUUGCUGGAGUGCGGCAGAGGGGGAUGGAAUUCCGCGUGUAGCAGUGAAAUGCGUAGAUAUGCGGAGGAACACCGAUGGCGAAGGCAAUCCCCUGGGCCUGCACUGACGCUCAGGCACGAAAGCGUGGGGAGCAAACAGG